rnacentral:rRNA from 1 species
CCUACGGGAGUCAGCAGUGAGGAAUAUUGGUCAAUGGACGAGAGUCUGAACCAGCCAAGUAGCGUGAAGGAUGACUGCCCUAUGGGUUGUAAACUUCUUUUAUAAAGGAAUAAAACGAGGCACGUGUGCCUUUUUGCAUGUACUUUAUGAAUAAGGAUCGGCUAACUCGGUGCCAGCAGCCGCGGUAAUACGGAGGAUCCGAGCGUUAUCCGGAUUUAUUGGGUUUAAAGGGAGCGUAGAUGGGGUGUUAAGUUAGAUGUGAAAGUUUGCGGCUCAACCGUAAAAUUGCAAUUGAUACUGGCAGUCUAGAGUACAGUUGAGGUAGGCGGAAUUCGUGGUGUAGCGGUGAAAUGCUUAGAGAUCACGAAGAACCCCGAUUGCGAAGGCAGCUUACUAAACUGUGACUGACAUUGAUGCUCGAAAGUGUGGGUAUCAAACAGGAUUAGAUACCCGAGUAGUC